AAGAGAGUAGAUUUUAAGUGUUUUGACCACAUAAAAUGAUUACGUAUGUGAGAUGAUGAUGCAUAGUUAAUUACCUCUAUAUUUCCAUUCCACAAUGUAUAUAUAUUUCAAAACGUGAUGUUGUAUACAAUAAACAUACACAAUUUUUAUGUGUCAAAUGAAAAGAAAAAACAAGUAAAUAAGGAUUGAGAGGAGAAAUUUUUAUUCUAAGUAAAAAAAUAUGCAUUGCAAAUAAGUCUUGCUCAGCACCACAGAUAAGCAAAACAAAAGAUAAUGAAAAUUAAUCUUUAUUUUGCCUGAGCAUAAAAUAUAAUUAAACUACUCCUCAAAUUAAUAAUAAGCUUAAUUUGUCUUCAUUGAACACCCAUCUGCAUGCCUUCCAGCAUUCUUACGAUUAAAGAUGAAGUCAACCUGAAUUGCCACAAAGAAUGUUGUGAGGUAGGAAUUAUCCUUUGGGGAGACUUUCAGGCAAAGGUGGCUAAAUCACUCCCCUAAGGGAUCACCUCUGAUACCUGAGGCACACUCAGAGCCCCAGAGCUCCCAAAGAAUGGGGAGCCAGACAUAGAACCAAGUUAAUAAGGAACAAAGUCACUUCUUAUUCAUCAGAGCUUAGCUGAGUCGUAUAAUCCCACUCAACCUGUCCCGAUGCCCUAAGCUCCACAGUUUCUGUUAACUCUCCCCUGAUUCCAAUUUGCUUUAUCUGCCUUUUAAUGUUUCUGGAAUCUCUGUGGCCACUCUUCACCCACAUAGGCGUUAACAUGUCUUGGCAGUUACUGAAAAAAAUAAUUUUUAUAAAUAAUUCAUGAUUUUAGUGAACAAACAUUCUAAAAUACAUUCAUUUUGGGGUUGUCUCUGGAAUAAGAAAAUGGAAAAUACAUAGUUUCUGCCUAGUAGAGGUUCUCCUGGACUUUGUUCUGAUCAUCCUUGUACUAAUUUUUAUCAUUAUGAUUAUUACUGAUUUCUUGCUAAGGAAGAAGUUUUGGAAGCUAUUGGUGGAGGUUCAGUCAGAUUGGGUGCUGCAUUGGUUUGAUCGGAUUUAUUUUGGGUAGGGAUCAAUAGUUCUUAAAAUUUAAGUAUAGUUCUUGUAACUACUCCAGUGUCUUAGAGUUGUGUGUUUGGUUUGGGUUGAUAUUAGAAUAUGGAGUUCUGCUUUCACCAAAUACUAGCUAUAUUCGUUUUACUUACUCUCACCAAUCUGCCCUUCUUGACAAGGACUCCUCAGGCACAAUCAGGUAAAAACUAGAGUACAAAGGCAUUUGUGAUAUUUUGUGAUACAUGCUUUCUAAGAUUAGGAUACAAAUUCAUGGGAAAUGAAAGACAUUUAUUUGAACUUUUGACUAAUUUAGAAAGUAGAGGAAAUCAGGCCAGGCAUCCCUCAGCCUUUUGCCUCCUACCCUGUUAAACUCAUCUGCAAGCGCACACGGCCAUCCUUCUCUUUCUCCUCCCUCGUGUGAAGAAUCCCUCUCUGUGCUCUGGAAUGUGCUUCUGCACUUGACCCAAGUUAAAUAUACAAAUUUACAUCUGAUUAAAUACACAAAUAUUAUACACAGCUGAUAACAUACACAAAUCUCUUCUAUCUUAAAAAAAAAAAAAGCCAUGUUCCCCAGUCUCUCCUGCAACUCAGCACCUGCAUGAGGCACAGCUCCAUCUCUUCUCUUCCCUCACUGUCACCCCCCUUUCCUGUCUUUAAUUAACUUUAAUGCAGUUUUCAAGUCCUCCCAGCCUGACUAUAAUUGCUCAUGCCAAGGUCAGCAGUAACUUCAGAAAUGCCCGAAGACUUUUCUUUCACCUUCUUGCCCUUGCUGCUGUCCUUGGUACUUUUUACCACACUAGUAGUUUCAAACCUGGCUCCUUCCUUGACUGCCUGUCACCACCCAUUUUAGGUUCUUCCCUGCUGUUGGUCUCGCAGGGAUGUUCUGUGUGACUUCCUCCUCACCUGGCAUUCUUGCUACUCCUAUCACCUGAUGUCUCCCACAUCUCUUUCUCCAGCCCCCAUUUCCCAUCUGAGCACCAGCCACAUGACCACCUCUGUAUUGAACAUCUGGACUUUCAACCUGGAUACCCCAGGGGCAUCUCAAAUCAACCUGUCUGGCCUAGACUCAUCCAUCUCCACGUUGCCCUACGUAGACCUGCUUCUCCUCCUGCAUUCCAUAGCUAUCAGAAAUCUCUUGCCUGGAUUAUAGAAACAACACUUGGAAGCCUCAUUUCAGUGAUUGCAGCUUUUGCCCUUAUAUCCGUCCAACUGCACUGAAGCCAAGUUUCUGCAGAACUGGAAGACUGGUUUCUGGGAACCUGGUGAUUGGUCAGUCCAAGUCCAAAGUGGUUGCUCUUCAUGGAUUUGCACAAGUAAAUAUCAACAUUUCAGGCCAACAUUACUUUGUGAAUGCCAAUCCCUGGGCAUAAAUUUUUUUCCCAGCCCCUAUGUUCUUCCCUACCACCAGCCCGACUCAGCACCUGGUGAAAUCUCACUCUGGCUUCCAGGUCCAGCUCAUAUACUUCCUCCUCUGUGCAUCCUUCCCUCACACCCACCCUUCUCCAGUGCAGUUCAUUAUGUCCUCUGCAGUGUACACAGAGGACAUACAUCCCUCUAACAUUGUGGUUACCCUGCUGUGUGCUGAAAGCCACCCUGGUAUCUGCUUGUUUCUCUCUUUUGCACUUGAUGAAAUAUUCACAGGUGGUCACAGUCUCAGUCACCACUGUUUUCAGUAUCAAGCUUGGUGCUGAACAAUUGCUCAGUAAAUGUCCAUCAGAUGAACAGUGGGUACCUACUUGGGAAAACAUAAUAAAAUGUAUUUGUCCUAUCACCUAACUUUAUUUACAAAGGAAUUUUAAAUAGAAUCAUAAAGCGUCAGAAUAGGAAAGAAACCAUGAAGUCACCAGAGGAAGUGGUGGUAACUGUUUCCCAGUGAAAAUCCCCAAAUAGGUUUAUGUGGGCAAAUGAGAAGGAACCUUGGAAAGAUUCCACUGGAAGGCAUUUUGAUUUCCCAGAGUGGGCUGGCCCCUGUAAUGCAAACACAGAUCUGAUCAUGAGCUCUGAGCCGAGCAGACUUGCUCUUUUUGAACCUCCUCCUGCUAGGAUUCCUUGGGCCCUUCAAGGGGCACUCCCAGACUAGGGUAACAGGGGUUUCUCCCACUACAGAAGUGUGGAAUAUUAUGGAAUACUAUAAAGUGACUCUGUUCCCUCCAACCCCUUCACUUCCCGCUUACCUCUCCAUCCACUCUGCCCCCAUUGACUGAUUUCUUCUGGUUCUGAGGAAGUCUCUCCUCCUGACUCAGGAUCAAGGCCAGUCUCAGGCCCUGCACCACCAUCAUUCUCCAUGCCACAGGAGCACCCUCCACUCCUAGGCCCUGCGUGUGGUGGCUGAUCACUACAUGCUUAGCUGGGCCUAGCACAAUGCUGACGCAGGGACAUAUCCUUCUUCACUCUCUGGCAACCCCCUGGACGCAUCUGCCCUUUCAGGAUUUUGUUUCUGACAGUCUACCUCCAGCUGGCUUCUUUUCACUAGUUUCAGCAGAUUUAGGCUGGGUCUAGGUUUAGGGCUCCUGAGAAGUCUCAUUCCCCCUUCCUUCCCUGUGGGAAGGCCGUUUCUUACUUCCUACUGAAGAUGAGAUGUCUUCUCUAGAUUUUAUAGCUCAAAUGUCAAAUAAGGUGGGGUUUAGGCCUUGGGAUCAGCAUGAGGAGAUUUGACUGCCCUCGUUUCCCUCAUUCAAAGCUGUGCGGGUGUCCCCAGGAGCUUGCACCAGCUCUGCCCCAUCUGAGAAUUCCCUUCUGAUUCUCUGUUCAACUUCUUCCAAUUAAUGUGCUCAGGUUGUGAAUAUCACUAUGGGGCUUAAAGCAGUUAAAUUCUUCAAAACAGCUUUUGACUUUUAGCUUCUGGGUUCUCAAAAGUCCCCCAACCCCACCAGCUCCAGGCCCUUAUAUGCAGUUUUUACCCCAUUUAUACACUGCCGUCUGAAACACAGCAGAAAUUGCAUUCAUCCCUCAGAGAGUGUGAAUGUUUUGAGAAAAUUACUCAGCAUUUAAAUGUCAAGAUAAUCAAGACCACACAGCCACAAAUAAUUACAUAAGGAUAGAGAAGAGGCAUCUCCACUACCCAGGCUGCCAGGGCCCUUCCCAGGGCCAGGGAGUCCAGCCCACACGUUUCUCAGGUAAAGAGGAAAUAAACAGCAGCAAUGGACCACGGCCCUACCCCCCAUGGAAGCUCCCCCUGACCUCUCCUGAGGUCUCAUCUGAGGCCCAUAAGUACUUAGACUGGAUGGAUAUCUCACCCUCAUAAAGCCCUCCAUGGCAAUCAGUUUUAUUUUGAAAAUUGUUCUACAUCUCCCCUCUGCUAAGACUUGAAAAAAAAAAAAAAGGAAAAUGCUUAAGGAAAUAUUGCAAUGCUCUUUGAGUCCUGAUGAAGCAGCCAUACUAAUUCACUUCUUCCUUGUGGGAGGUGGUGAAACACCACACAGCUGCUCAAAGCCUAUUUUGGAAGUGGAUGCUGGAGAGCAGCAGCCCCUGGGCACUCCCUCCUCUGAAGGCCUUCACUGUGUUUCAAAUGAAUUGGAGGACUUGAUUCAAGCAGGGAGAUAUUUUCCUGAUUUGUUUUUUAGUGUCAGGGCACUGGCAGCAACUGGAGAUGUUUAAAUUGUGAGACAUCAGGAAGUGAGAGCAUGAGUACUUACACAUAGAUUGGGGGAAGACUCCAACCACAGGAUUUGCAUUUAGAGAGAGGGCUGGGACUAAGAUAUCUGGAUUCCACAGGACCAUUUCUAUUUCAGAGAGAUAUCCUCCUAAUUAAUUUCUUUACAAAUAAAGAGCUGUCCUUAUCCUAAUUAUUAAAAGUGAAGACAGAAACACACUUAUGGCAGGGCGCGGUGGCUCACACCUAUAAUCCCAGCAGUUUUGGAGGCUGAGGUGGGCGGAUCACCUGAGGUUAGGAGUUCGAGACCAGCCUGGCCAACAUGGUGAAACCCCAUCUCUACUAAAAAUACAAAAAAUUAACUGGGCUUGGUGGUACACACCUGUAGUCCUAGGUACUUGGGAGGCUGAGGCAGGAGAAUUGCUUUAGCCUGGGAGGCAGACAUUGCAGUGAGCCGAGAUUGCACCACUGCACUCCAGCCUGGGCAACAGAGGAAGACUCUGUCUCAAAAAAAAAAAAAAACAAAAACAAACAAACAAAAAACAAAAAAAAAACAAAAGAAAGAAAAGAAAAAGAAAAACCCCCCAAAAACGAAACAAAACAAAACAAAAACACUUACGAUGUUCUUGUCAUGGUAAUUGAUAUAAAUUGUCACCUUGCCAAGGUGCCAAGCUCCAUCCUGCACACAGUGGGGAGAUAGCACUCCCACAAGCUCAGACCAAGAUCAGCUAAAUAGGGUACAUGCAAGUCAAUGGCAUCUUGGCAGCUGAGACAGUAGGUGCAUGGGGCAGUCAGAGAGAGUGAGAACUGAGCCUGGUGGUGAGUUGUCUAGGAAAUCAGCAGUCCAUCUACAUAAGGAAUCCACCCUCUAUGACUUUACUGCCUCAUGCACGAUAUUACAUCCUUUAAGGAAGCCUUUAAUUCAUCUAUUGUCAAAACAGUGAAGGCUCAUAAAACUCUUACAGCCCAUUCACACAACUUCUCUUUGAGAAUGCAGCUGGGCACUGAUUUGGUUGAUGGUGUCUGUCUUGAAGCUUCCUAAUCAGACUGCAAAUCUCCCCAUUAGCUCAUCAAUGACCAUGUUACAAAAUCUAUAAGUCAUUUCCCGGGCCUUGUCCUACUUGACCUAUCAGCAGCAUUUGACCUAGCAGACCAUGUGCUUUCCAGGAUACCAUAGUCUCCUGAGUUGGCUCGCCCCUUUUUAUGUCAUUCUUCUUCAUGGAGCUCUCAUUAACCUGAGCUCUAAAACAUUGCAGUCUCCUGGUUCUUAUAAUUCAUAGACCUCUAAGGUGCUGCAUGGAUUUACACUAGGGGGCACAUUCACAUAGAUAUCUUGGUGCUAUCUGGAGUUCUGCAAUGCCCAGUUAUUUACUAAACCAUUGCUGAAGCAUGAUCAUAGACCAAUCAAUGCUGGUCUACCAACUGUUUGCUGCCAGCUCACAACAAGACAAGGACAGAUAUUGAGAGCACUUAUUUAGAAACAUUUAGAGCAAAGUGACAGUGUUGCUGCAUCCACACUACCCCAGUUAGACUCUUCUAGUGUUCAUGAUCUGAUCAGGUACAGACCAGUUUGGGCAUUGUUGAACUCGUGGAGAGACACACGUGAUGUGAGCUGUGUACCGGGCAUGUGAAAUAGGAUAGAGUGUGAUAUUUUCACUUAAAUUAGUCGAGUGAAAGUACAUAAAAUCUGAAUCCAUGUCUUUUAUGGAAAAAUAAUUUCAAUAAAAAAUAAGUAACCCAACUGUAGUUAAUAAUAUUGUAUUGGAUACUUAUAAUUUACUGAGAGUAGAUCUUAAGUGUUCUCACGCACACACAAAAAAAGAUUAUUGUGAGGUGAUGAAUGUGUUAACUAGUUAACCUGCUUGUAUUAAUCAUUUUACAAUGUAUAGGUAUAUUAAAUACCAUGUUGUACACUUUAAAUAUAUACAAUUUUAUUUGUCAAUUAUACUUCAAUAAAGCUGAAAAAAUAUAAUUUAAAUCAACUAACAUGUUAUAGGAUAUGUCAUUGAAUGUGGCUGCUGCUGAAGAAUUGAAGAUGGAUAUUGAAAAUAUAACUUUCAUUUUACAUAAAGGCUAAAUAUGAAUAUCUUGAGCCUAGAGAAUUUGCUUUAAAAUUCUUUCUUCCAUACCCAUCAACCUAUCUCUUCUACCAUGAGUAAUAGUAAAACAAAACAUAGAAAUAAUUUAGGUACACCUUGUCCUCAAUAAGUACUCUUGUCAUCAAUCCAACUUAGAUAAGUUAACAAGGAAGAAGCAAAUUCAUUUGUCCCUUUAAAAAGUUAAAUGUUGAUAUACAGUGAAUGUUCAAAAUGUGUGUAGAGAUUUUGAAAAUGUGAAAUCACUGUCUCAUUCUUAAUGUUUUGCUUAGCUGUAUUUCAAAAGGAUAAAAAAUAAAUGCAAUGCUGUCACUAAUCACCUAUAUGCAUAAUUUCAAUGAGCAAUGCACAGUUUUGGUAAUUUUUUUCUACAUUGUGCUUUUCCUGAUUAUAUUAUUGAAAUGUAUUUUCAUAUCUGUUGAAUAUAUUAAUACAAAUUUGGGCUUGCAUUUUAUAUGUAUUUAUUUUUAUUUCAUUUUCUUUUUCUAGUAAUUUAUUUUAUUUUUACAGAAGUGUCAGACUGCAGUUGACUAGAAACUAACACACACACAGAUACACAUUUAUAGACCUCAGAGGCAAUGCAGCCCUGGAAUUGUGCUAGUCCUUCUAUUUUCUAUGUAUACUUACACUCAUGAUGAUAUCAUCAAAUUUCAUGUCCUUAAAUUCCAUCAAAAUGCCAAUGACUUCCAAAUGUGUCUCUUCAGCCCAGACUUCUCCCCUGAACUCAGCUUUGCUUGUCCAAUUGCCUACUUGACAUUUCCACUAGGAUGAGUAACCAAUCCAAAACUGAACUUUUGAUCUUCCCCUAUUCCCACUCAGGAUGCUCUCCUUGUGCAAAACUUCGUCAUCUCAGUAAAUGAAAAGAACAUCUUUCUAGGAGCUCAGGCGAAACGCUCAAGAGUCGUAGUUGACUCUUCUCUUUUUCUCACAGUUCACAUCUAGUCUCUAUUGAAAUUAUCUUGGCUCCACCUACGAAAUACAUCCAGAAUUUAACCACUUCUCACCACCUCCAUUUCCAUUAUGCUAAUCCUAGCAUGUAUCCCCCGUGUCUGGAUUACUGCAAUGAUCUCCUAAACAAUCUCUCUGCUUUCAUUCUGUCUUCCAGUCUCUUCUCAGCUGAGCAGCUAGAAUGAACACUUCAAAGCAAAAGACACUAUGUCACUUCUCUGCUCAAAUCAUUCCAUCUGACUCAGUCUAAAAGUCAAUUGCAAUGACCUUUCAUACCAUGGGUGGUCUGCUCUCUUCCUUUGUCCACUAGGACCCAACCACACUGGCUUCCUUAUUGUUCAUCACAUGCUUCUGCCUUGGGGGCUUUGCACUCAUUGUUUCCUAUUUCUACACUCUUUUUUUUUUAAUUUAAUUUUUACUUUAGAUUCAGGAGGUACAUAUGCAGGCUUAUCACAAGGUUAUAUUGUGUGAGUCUGCAGUUUGGGCUUCUAUUGAUCUUGUUACCCAGAGAGUGAACACAGUACUAAUAGAAAGUUUUUCAGCCCUGCGUCCCUCCCUUCUCCCAUCUUUUGGAGUCCCUCAUGUCUGUUGUUUUCGUCUUUAUGUCCAUAUGUACCCAAGGUUUAGCUCCCACUUGUAAAUAAGAACAUGUGAUAUUUGGUUUUCUGUUAAUUUGCUUAGGCAAAUGGCCUCCAGCUGCACCCAUGUUGCUGUAAAACACACGAUUUCAUUUCUGGUACAUUAUUGACCAACAGAUCCCCUUAGCUUGCUCUCCAGUCUCCUACAGGUAUUUGCCUAAAUGUCAUCACCUCAGUGAGGCUUUUUAUUUUUAGAACCUACGUAAAUUUGCAUCCCUCCGGCUUCACCUCUUCCCUUUUCCUGCAGUAUUUUUCUCCACAGAACUUAAUACUUUCUAAUACACUGUAUAAUUUACUUUUUAAAGCUUGUCACUAGAAUAUAAGCUCCACAAGGGUAAGAAUUUUAUAUCUUUUGUUCAUUGCUGACUUCCUAGCAUCUACAACAGAGGUUAAAACUCUAAUAAGUACGCGCCCUUCUAAUUAUGAGAUCUGUUAUUUGACUGUGAGCCCCUGAUGAGGAGAUGAAACGCACUGCAACAUUUUGACUGCUCUGCUUACCCCAGUGCCAUGCAAAGAACAAGGAUUCAUGCAUACUUAUUAAAAAAAUGAAUCAAGUCUGUCUGGGAACAUUGCAAAUAAUAAGAAUGUACCACCAGACCUCCUGGUUCCUAUUAUCUCAUUUUGAAGAUGAGACAUCUGCAAAGUCAAAAGAUUUCUCUGGAUGUGAGAGACAAACAGUAACUUCUGUGUAGUUCUGGGAAGGAGGCAUCAUAGAGCAGGUGUGUUUUGAGUUCCAGUCCUCAGCAAGAGAGAGAGAAAAAAGAUUACUCAUAGAGAGGUAGGAAAAGGUUUUAAUAAAGUAUAAUUUCCAAGAAUUUGAGUAAGUUCUCUUAGGCCUAAUAUCCCUUUCCAACUUUGAGGACUUGCCCUACUGUCAGAAAUCUCCACAUUUUCUUUACUCUUCUAAAAAGUAACAUCUAGAAGUGAAACUUCUCGCCCCCAUGAGAUUAAAAUUAUAUCAA
rnacentral:lncRNA from 1 species